GUAAACAGGAACUGGUGAUGCGUUAUGUCGGAUAACGGAGAUGUACAUAUAGUGUCAUUGUGUAGGACAUACACUUCGUAUGACCCGUGAGCUGCGUCAAGUGUAACAACUGUGACAACAGGGCAAUGGGGAACCUCUGGCUGGUACUGCUGCUGACGAUAUGUCUGACAGAAGUGGUGCAUGGAUUCUGUUACUUCCGCCGUGGCAUCUUCCCCACAAACUGCUUUAAGUCGGAGUACUGCUGUGGGCUAGGAAAGUUUAAAAGAUGUUGUCAGAAUGGGGAAGUAGAUAACUCGCCGCUGAUCAUAGGGCUGUGUGUUGGAGUUCCAUUCGGCCUGACCUUCAUAGGAAUUGCCAUUUUCGGCUGUUGGUGGAAGCUGUGUCGACGACCUGAUUAGGACUCUCACUUCAACUAAGACACACAAGCGAGAGAAGCGACAGAAGAGACCCAGAACGUGUCAGCGGUUUCCGGUGUACCCGUGAUGGAGAAACUCCCCGUGGGAUUCUGAAUGUUUCCUCAGCGCCUCGUCCUGCGUAAAACUUACUGAAGAUGGAGAUCAGCUCUGUGACAAGUUAAUUGCAGAAGCCUUGUGGAUAAAGCGUUCGCUCGUCAUGCCGAAAAACCGGGUUCGAUUCCACACAUAGGAAAAAUGAGUGAAGCCUAUUUCUAAUGCGUGCACUGCCGCGAUAUUGCUGGUAUAUUGUAAGUGGUGUAAAACCAUAUUGACUCCCUCACUCACUUUGUCCGUCGACCGUCAUUUACCGUGUGAUGUUUAUAACUUGUUAAUAGAUAUACAUUGUACAUAAGUGAAAGUUUGUAUAUACAGGUGUGUUGUAAAACCCAUGUUUGUGUAAAUAAACUACAAACAUGUUUCA